rnacentral:lncRNA from 1 species
UAAGAGCUGCUCCAUUUCCUCUAGGAUUAUUGUGAAGUCACUGGCUUCGUCCUUACAUAAGGUCUGCUGUUCCAGGAACUGGACACUCUCCUCUUCUUUCAGCUUCAACUUCACCUUCAAGGCCUGAAAGGGAAAUCAUCCCAGAGGGAAACCCAUAACACAACUCUUACAACAAAGACAGCACCCGGACCAGACCGUUAUACCCGUGCUACAUAGAGGGGGGCGACCCCAGUACCAGACAGCAUCUUAUUUCCCACCUUAAAAUUUAUCUGUGCUGGCUCGGGGAAUUUCCCUACUCUGUAUUUAAACUGGAACAAUGAAACCGUUUGUGUCUCCUGCCCCACCAUUUGUCUGGCAAUCGGAAGGCGUCCAAGAAUCUCACCAUGUGGACCAGGCUUCAAACGUACGAAGACCCCUGCUGCCUCUGUAAUAGAAGGGAUCAAAUUCAGACAGCAACGCUUGUACGGCAAGGACCUUAAUCCACCGACCAGCCAUCUUAAGCCUCUGACCACCCUCCCCCUCCAUCCUAAAACAUUAAAAAAAAAAUUCUAAUGUGCAUGUAAAGACAUGUGUGCAUGCACUGUGAGAUGUGUGUGGAGGCCAGAGGGCGACUUGGAGAACUGGGUUUUUCCUUCCAUCACACCGGUUCUGGGAUCAAACUUGUUUGUGAGACUUGCAACAAGGACUUUUACCUACUGAGCCAUCUCAACAGCUUUCUACUAUUAAAAAAAAAACAAAAAACAUUUAUUUAAUUACUUGUAGGGAAGGGGAGAAUUUAUACCACUCUGUGGAGGUCAGAGGACAAAGUGAAGGACCCAGUCCAGGUCAUCAGGCUUGGUGACAAGACCCUUUACCUGCUCCUCCAUCUCAAAUG